CGGAGUGCGUUAGAACGGGGGAUUCAAUCGACACCUCAACAUGUAUCGGCUUCAUACGUAAAUUUUUUAGAACACUACAGCAAAUACUGUAAGGAUUGGAAGGAAUGCCCACCAGAAGACUACAUGGAGAAAUAUUUUCUGUUGUUAAAUGAAGAAUGUUUUUUUGAAGUAUUAACAGAAAAUAAAUUGAAUGCAGGGAACUAUAUACCAUCCUGGGUUUAUGAUACAAUGAUGAAACUUUUAUUCAGUACAAUGGCAC
rnacentral:lncRNA from 1 species